rnacentral:lncRNA from 1 species
CGGGCCGAGCACCAACAGCGGCGCCUCCGGCACGGACGCGUCCGCUUCCGGCCCAGCCGGGCCCAGCGCCCGUUCCAGCGCUGCCGCCAUUCGGCCGUGGCCAAUCUCUGCCUCCGUUCCGCGGGGAGCGGCCAAUGGGAGCUCGGAGCCCCUCAGCCAAUCGGGGAGCGGCUUCCCUCAGCGCUGCUCCCGCCCACCGCGCGCCUCAACCAAUCGGAGGGGAGAGUCCCGCGGAGCCGCUCCCGCCCGCCGUGCUCUCCUCAGCCAAUCGGAGAGGAGCAUCUCUCAGCCCACGGCGCGCGCCUCAGCCAACCAGAAGAGGCUCCCUCCCGCUCCCGCCCACCGCGCGCGUCUCAGCCAAUCGGAGGGCACGAAAAGGAGGGCGGGAUGCCCGUCCCGCGCGCCGUCCCCCUCCUCGCUUUUCAUUGGCCGCUCCAGCCGCCAAUCCAGCACCGCCCCGUCUCCCGACGCGCUUCAAAGCCCCGCCCCUUCCCGCUCCGCUCAGCCAAUAGGGAGGCGGUACCCGGCAGGGGGGGGCGUGCCCGGAGCUGUCAGUCACUCCCCGCUGCCUGGCAACGCGUUGCUUGGCGACGGCGGGCUGUUGCCGGGCAACGGGGCGAGUUGGGCGCGGCUCCGCGCAUGCGCAGACGAGACGGGACGCACGAUGUGCACCAGGAGGCGCAGGGAUGGAUGAUGCACAGGGAUGCAUGAGGCUGCAGGGCUUGCACGAGGAUGCACGAGGGUGCACGAGGAGGCGCCGGGUUGCACGACAAUGCACGGGUGUGAGCACACGAGGAUGCACCGGAGAGCAUAAGAAUGCAUGGGGUUGGGGGGCAUGAGGGAUGUGCAGCGUUGCACGGGGAUUCACAGGGAUGGAUGCACGGGGGGGCUGCGGGAUGCAAGAGGGGUGCACGAGGAUGCACGGCGGUGCACGAGGAUGCAUGCACGGGAUGCACGAGGGUGCACAGUGUUGCACAGCGUCGCACGAGGAUGCACGGUGUCGCACGAGGAUGCACGGGGUUGCACAAGGAUGCACGGUGUUGCAUGAGGGUGCAUGCACGAGGUUGCACAGUGUUGCACAGUGUUGCACGAGGAUGCACGGGGUUGCACGAGGAUGCACCGGGUUGCACAGCAUCGCACGAGGAUGCACGGUGUUGCACGAGGAUGCAUGCACGAGGGUGCACAGUGUUGCACAGUGUUGCACGAGAAUGCACGAGGAUGCACAGCGUUGCACAGCAUCGCACGAGGAUGCACGGUGUUGCACGAGGGAGCACGGGGUUGCACGAGGAUGCACAGUGUUGCAUGAGGGUGCAUGCACGAGGUUGCACAGUGUUGCACAGCAUCACACAAGGAUGCACGGGGUUGCACAAGGAUGCACGGGGGUGCACGCGCGUGCACAGCAUUGCACGAUGCAUGAGGAUGGAUGCACAGUGACGCAUGGUGGCUCAUGGUCAGGGUGCAAAAUGGUGCACGAGGGUGCCCGGGGUUACACGAGGAUGCACGAGGGUGCGUGGGGAUGCACGUGGAGGAUGCACUUGGUGCACAACGGUGCACGCGGACGGACGCACGAGGGUGCAGAGGGCGGCACAAGGAUGCAAGGGGGUGCACAAGAUUGGAUGCACGGGGAUGCACGAGGAUGGAUGCAUGAGGCGGCACGAGGAUGCACGGGGAUGUGCAAGGAUGCUCAGAGUUGCACGAGGUUGCACGGGGAGGCACGGGGAUGCACAAGUGUGCAGAGGACACACGGGGACACGUGUGGGCAGCCGAAGUCGCCCAGCCCGGUGCACACGGUUGCACGAGGCCGCGUGCCAUUGCACCAGGAUGCACGAGGAUGCAUGGCGAGGCACGGCGUGGCACGGGGAGGCACGAGGCUGCACGGGGAUACAAGGGCGUGCACGGGGGUGGGUGCACGAGGGUGCAAGAGGUUGCACGAGGGCGCAGAGCACACACGGGGACGGCUGCAGAGGGACACCCGAGGACGCCCAAAGCUUCACGGGGACGCCCGCGGGCUCACGAGGAUGCACGGCCCCGUGCACGGGGAUGCACGAGGAUGCACGAGAGGAUGCACGAGGAGGCCGGCUCGGGGCGUCCCCUCGGCUACGCGUAUUCUCCAGCAAUAACAGCGCGGCCGUGUUAUCCGCCCGAGAAUACCCGUCACCGCGGGGCGCGGGGGGGGCAUCCGGGGGGGGGGGGGUGGGGGGGGAUUGAGGGGGGAAAGGGGGGAGGGGAGGGGAGGAGGAGGAGGGGGGAUUCGAACCCGCGGACGGGGGAAGCCCUGGGCGGGGCCUCGAGAGCCGCCGGGUGGGGAUUCAGCACCACGGACAGCGGCAAUGCUGCUCUAAUGGGGGCUGUGGGGGUUCUAUAGGGAUCUAUAGGGGUCUAUGGGGGACCAUAGGGGUUCUAUGAGGUCUAUGGGGGCUCUAUGGGGGACUAGAGGGGUUCUAUAGGGGUCUUUGUGUCUCAGCAGCAUGGACAGUGGCAAUGGGGCUGUAAAGUGGGCUGUGGGGGUUCUAUAGGGAUCUAUAGGGGUCUAUGGGGGACCAUAGGGGUUCUAUGAGGUCUAUGGGGGCUCUAUGGGGGACUAUAGGGGUUCUAUAGGGGUCUAUGGGGCUCAGCACCACGAACAGUGGCAAUGGGGCUCUAAUGGGGGCUGUGGGGGUUCUAUAGGGAUCUAUAGGGGUCUAUGGGGGACUAUAGGGGUUCUAUGGGGACUAUAGGGGUUCUAUGGGGGUCUAUGGGGGUUCUAUUGGGGACUAUAGGGGUACUACAGGGAUCUGUGGGGCUUAACACCGCGGGCAGCGGCAAUGGGGCUCUAUAGGGGUUCUAUAGGGGUCUAUGGGGGUUCUAUUGGGGACUAUAGGGGUUCUAUAGGGUUCUAUGUGGGUUCUAUGGUGGAUCAGCACCACGGACAGCGGCAAUGGGGCUCUAUAGGGGUCUGUGGGGGUUCUAUGAGGGACUAUAGGGGUUCUAUAGGGUUCUAUGGGGGUUCUAUGGUGGAUCAGCAUCACGGACAGCGGCAAUGGGGCGCUAUAGGGGUUCUAUAGGGGUCUGUGGGGUCUCAGCACCACCGACAGUGGCAGUAGGGUUCUAUAGGGGUCUAUAGGCUGUCUAUAGGGGCUCGGCAAGACGGACAGCGGCAAUGGGGCUCUAUAGGGGUUCUAUAGGGGUCUAUGGGGGUUCUAUUGGGGACUAUAGGGGUUCUAUAGGGGUCUAUGGGGGUUCUAUGGUGGAUUAGCAUCACGGACAGCGGCAAUGGGGCGCUAUAGGGGUUCUAUAUGGGUCUAUGGGGCAAUGCGGUUCGGUGGAGAACUAUGGGAAUUCUAUGGGGUUUGGCAACAGGGACAGCGGCAGCGGCACUCUAUGGGGGUCGUAUGGGGUCUAUGGGGGUUCUAUAGGGAUCUAUUGGGGUUCUAUAGGGGUCCGGAAGCACGGAGAGCAGCUGGAGGGGGCAAUGGGAUUGUAUGGGGCCUAGGGGGGAUUCUAUGGGAGCUCUAUAGGCGGUGCUAUAGGGGUUGUAUGGGGGGGGGACAAUGGGAGCUCUGUAGGGGGUUCUAUAGGUUCUAUAUGGGGCUUUGGCACCCAGGAUAGCAGCUGUGGGGGGUCAAUGGGGCUCGGGGGGGGGGGGGGUCCUGUAGGACGGUCCUCCAGGGGCUGUAUGGGGUUCUAUAAGGGGUUCUAUGAAGCCUAUGGGGGUUCUAUGGGGGGGCUCUAUAUAGGGCCCUCUACAUAGGGGCUCCACGGGGUUCCAUAGGGGCCCUAUAGGGCUCUAUGGGGAUGGGGGGGGAUGUAUAUAGGGCCCUCUACAUAGGGGCUCCAUGGGGGCUCUAUAGGGGCCCUAUGGGGCUCAAUGGGGGGGAGGAUCUAUAUAGGGCCCACAUAGGGGCUCCAUGGGGGCUCUAUAGGGGCCCUAUAGGGCUCAAUGGGGGGUGGAGGGGCUCUAUAUAGGGCCCACUACAUAGGGGCUUCAUGGGGUUCCAUAGGGGCCCUAUAGGGCUCUAUGGGGAUGGGGGGGGCUAUAUAUAGGGCCCUCUACAUAGGGGCUCCAUGGGGGCUCUAUAGGGGCCCUAUAGGGCUCAAUGGGGGGUGGAGGGGCUCUAUAUAGGGCCCACUACAUAGGCGCUUCAUGGGGUUCCAUAGGGGCCCUAUAGGGCUCAAUGGGGGGGAGGGGGGGGGCUUUAUAUAGGGCCCUCUACAUAGGGGCUCCAUGGGGGCUCUAUAGGGGCCCUAUAGGGCUCUAUGGGGGGGGGAGGAUCUAUAUAGGGCCCACAUAGGGGCUCCACGGGGUUCCAUAGGGGCCCUACAGAGAGCUCAGCGAUGCCUAUGGGGAUGGACACAGGGCCCAUAUAGGGCCUCAGUGAGCUUCUAUGGGGGCUCUCUAUGGGGCGCCGAUCGGGGCCUCUAUAGGGACUCUAUAGGGCCCAUAUAGGGCCUCCACGAGCUUCUACGGGGGCUCUCUAUGGGACGCCAACCGGGGGCUCUAUAGGGACUCUAUAGGGCCCUCCAGCACCGCCGCACGGCCCCACCCCCCCCAACCCCCCCCCAAACCCCCCCCCCCCAACCCGUCCGUCCCCACCGGGGGGGGUCGUGGGGGGGUCGUGGGGGGGUCCCGGCCCAGCGCU